rnacentral:lncRNA from 1 species
UAGAAUACUCUUUUCCUUUGCCUGCCUGGCUAUGUUAAGCUCACAUUCUUCUCUUAGAAAUAAUCUCCCAGGGACCCCUGGGUGACUCAGUGGUUGAGCAUCUGCCUUUGGCCCAGGGCAUGAUCCCAGGAUGAGGGAUCGAGUCCUGCAUCGGGCUUCCUGAUCCCACCCCGGGCUGAAGGCGGCGCCAAAACGCUGAGCCACCCGGGCUGCCCUAGCUCCUAUAUCUUUAACUUCAUCUGGAUCAUUUUUUUCUGUUAAAUAUAUGUAACAUUUCUAGUGCUACAUUUUUCUUUCCGCUGAAACUAUCUUCACCCUCUCUUCUAGAUAUAUUUUUAAGUUUGAAUUUUGAAUCUCCAAGUUAAAAUGUGACACUACCAAAAAAAGUCUCCAUCAGGGCAACUGCCUUUAUGAAUUAGUUCAAUACCAAAAGUGCUUGAAUUAUAUUCUCUGCUUCUUAUCUUGGUAGUUGGCCCAACUCAACCUUCUCCAAUACCUUCUUUCCACCUAUUUACUUUCUUUUGCUUAAGCUCUGUAUGUAGCCAAAUGGUUUAUAAAUUUCUCCAGGAAAUAUUUUGACCCUAAUUUGGGGAUUCAGCUUUCUAAUUCUGAGAGAAAAAAGUUGUGAGGUGACUCAAUUUUCUUACUGAACAGCUAUAUACCACUUAGACAAGUUAUUUCAACUUUCUGAGCCUCAGUUUUCUCAAUUAAAAAAGGGAGAGAUGAUAUCACCUAUCAGCAGUGAUGUUUUUCAGAUCAAAGGAAAAGAAAUGCAAUAUGUUUAGGGCAAGGGGUAAACUGGAGGUUUUACUUUAUAAAAAUUUGUCUGUUAUUACCAACAUAAUUAUUUCAUAGACCACUAAAGAAUUUUGCUACCAAAAGCACUGAAUGUACUUCCUAAUUCUGGCCUCAAUUGAAGGACAGAAUGCAAAUCACAUUACUGCAAUUUUAUUAGAGAAGUCACCAAGGGAAAUGUGUAAUAAAAAUCUGGACUACAUUUUGGCAGACAGGAACUAGAAUACAAGACCAGAAAAGUCAACUCUCAAGACCUACUGUGUUCCAGCAUGGAACCCUAUAUGCCCUUGAAGCUAGUAAGAUCUUGACUGCAAAAGGAAGUGUUAUAGCACAUUUAGUCUUCCAGUUCCAAGCAGAAAUGAAGAUUGGGGCAAAUUUGUAUUUUAUUGCUGAUUUGAAACACAGAACAAUAAUGACCACCAUGCCAAUCAAGACAAAUAUAUUAACUUUACAACUAAUAUUUGAAACACUGCAUGCUCGGUACCAUGCUAAGUAUUUUGUUUUUAUUAAUACUUAUAACAAUCCUAUGAGGUGGACACAUUUAACCCAUUUAACAAACAAAAAAACUUGAAGCUUGGCAAAACUGGGAUUCAAAUCGGGGUGCUUGAAAAUUUCAAGCACCCAAUAUCAUGUCAGUAAGUUACAUGCUAUAAGUAAGAUAAUAAAUAGUUUGGCAGUAAGAGCUAUUUGUGCAUCGUGUAGGAGGUG